UCCUCUGUCCUGCUCCACCUAUUGUCUCUGCCUUCUUUCCAUCUGUAUUUCACUCUGUGGUUUGUGAGAAAUUUUGCCAAACCAACAAUCCUUUUGCGGUUUGAUUUAAAGCCGUGUCUCUCCUGCUCUGUCUGUUCUCUCUGCUAAAUUUUCUCUCUACCUGUUUUUCACUCUUGGCUUGCUGCUGAAAAACGCCAAGCGACACAGUCCUCCUGUGUCUUCUCCAAUCUUCACAUGUAAGAUCCAACAGUGUGAGGCACAUAGCAGCCAGAAACUGUAAUGCCACAGAACAGAGAGGCUUCAUCAUCACCAUCUUCAUCACCGUACGAUCAGAGCGUGAGACUUCACAUCUGGAGCACAGGAGACAUUCUGUGAUAAGUCCUCCUUCUAGCUUGUCCCACAAGCAGUCGAGCUGAGACACUCAGGACUGAACAGACUGCACAGUUUCUGUGACUGAGCCUCCAAAACACCUUCUUUGAAACCACUCAUGAUAGAAGGGCUUUAUAUUUGCAGCAGCACUACUACAGUUGGCAGGAAUGUUGCUGCAGGAAAACAUCCCUGGAGAUCACCAUCAUUGUCAGACUGACUGUGCCUCCUCUGUGCAGUGUCAAGAUCCUCCCUAAAUGAGUGUUUCUCAGCUAUCCUGCUUCUGUGCUGCUUGCCACACAUCAAACUCUGGCCGGAUGACAGGGAGGAUCCACUCUGAAGUCACUGGACAUUAUGAGGAUCAUAUGGGACUUCAUAGUUUCACAGUAACAUUGUGCUCUGUGAUUACAGGUUUUAAAUGGAUACAAUGACUGCCUCUCUCUGAUCAACAGGCUAAAGGAUUGUUUUCAUUGUUAGUGCUCUGUACAAUGUAUGCUUAUUUAGUAUUUCAUCACAGAGCAAACCUUUAUUUAUUUAACAUAUUUUUAUUUUGUUUUAAUGUUGAAUUAACUGUAGGGAUUUUUUAAGUGGGCACUCGGGAUGUCAUAUGACCAGAAAUGUGGUAACUGGAAUUCAACAGUAUGGAAGAAAAAAUCUGC